CGAACGACUCUGGUAUUGAUUGGUGCUUGCAUCAUGAUUUACAUUUGAGUGAGUGGCGAACUGGUGAGUAACACGUGGGAAACCUGCCCAGAAGCGGGGGAUAACACCUGGAAACAGAUGCUAAUACCGCAUAACAACUUGGACCGCAUGGUCCGAGCUUGAAAGAUGGCUUCGGCUAUCACUUUUGGAUGGUCCCGCGGCGUAUUAGCUAGAUGGUGGGGUAACGGCUCACCAUGGCAAUGAUACGUAGCCGACCUGAGAGGGUAAUCGGCCACAUUGGGACUGAGACACGGCCCAAACUCCUACGGGAGGCAGCAGUAGGGAAUCUUCCACAAUGGACGAAAGUCUGAUGGAGCAACGCCGCGUGAGUGAAGAAGGGUUUCGGCUCGUAAAACUCUGUUGUUAAAGAAGAACAUAUCUGAGAGUAACUGUUCAGGUAUUGACGGUAUUUAACCAGAAAGCCACGGCUAACUACGUGCCAGCAGCCGCGGUAAUACGUAGGUGGCAAGCGUUGUCCGGAUUUAUUGGGCGUAAAGCGAGCGCAGGCGGUUUUUUAAGUCUGAUGUGAAAGCCUUCGGCUCAACCGAAGAAGUGCAUCGGAAACUGGGAAACUUGAGUGCAGAAGAGGACAGUGGAACUCCAUGUGUAGCGGUGAAAUGCGUAGAUAUAUGGAAGAACACCAGUGGCGAAGGCGGCUGUCUGGUCUGUAACUGACGCUGAGGCUCGAAAGUAUGGGUAGCAAACAGGAUUAGAUACCCUGGUAGUCCAUACCGUAAACGAUGAAUGCUAAGUGUUGGAGGGUUUCCGCCCUUCAGUGCUGCAGCUAACGCAUUAAGCAUUCCGCCUGGGGAGUACGGCCGCAAGGCUGAAACUCAAAGGAAUUGACGGGGGCCCGCACAAGCGGUGGAGCAUGUGGUUUAAUUCGAAGCUACGCGAAGAACCUUACCAGGUCUUGACAUACUAUGCAAAUCUAAGAGAUUAGACGUUCCCUUCGGGGACAUGGAUACAGGUGGUGCAUGGUUGUCGUCAGCUCGUGUCGUGAGAUGUUGGGUUAAGUCCCGCAACGAGCGCAACCCUUAUUAUCAGUUGCCAGCAUUAAGUUGGGCACUCUGGUGAGACUGCCGGUGACAAACCGGAGGAAGGUGGGGAUGACGUCAAAUCAUCAUGCCCCUUAUGACCUGGGCUACACACGUGCUACAAUGGAUGGUACAACGAGUUGCGAACUCGCGAGAGUAAGCUAAUCUCUUAAAGCCAUUCUCAGUUCGGAUUGUAGGCUGCAACUCGCCUACAUGAAGUCGGAAUCGCUAGUAAUCGCGGAUCAGCAUGCCGCGGUGAAUACGUUCCCGGGCCUUGUACACACCGCCCGUCACACCAUGAGAGUUUGUAACACCCAAAGUCGGUGGG
rnacentral:rRNA from 2 species